AUUUAGUGACACCUUGGAAGACAUUAAGAAACGAGCCUUAGAUAUUGCAGUGAAAAACAGAAAGUCACUUAUUUCACAUGAAAGGAAAGAACUUGGAAAGGUGCUGAUUGACUUAUCAAAGGAAGAUUUAGUCAAGGGCUUCUCUCAAUGGUAUCAGUUGACAAAUGGACAGCCCCAGAGUUGACUCCUUCACACAUGAUCAACAGCACACUUCAUGUAUAUUUGGAACUUUGAAGGCCGCAAUAAGAUUUUGUAAAUGUUUAUACUUCAAUAACGCUUAACUUAUUUAAUGCAUUACUAUAUUUCUUAAAAUUCUGACUUUUUCAAGGGAUGAAUUUGGCAUCAUCCUGCAUUUAACUUUUAAUGGUAAAGUUUAUAACAGUAAAUGUGUACCUGAGGAGUUCCCCAACUGAUUGACCAAAGACAGGACAAAUUCUGAGGCAGAGUGCUCUGCUUUCCAUAUUCUCAGGCUUUUCUGACCAAGCACUGUUUGUUGCUGCUUAAUUUCCCCUCCCAGCUCUGUUCCCCCACACGAAGUGCCACAGGUAAACCCAGGGUCCAUAUCAUUUUGAAAGCACGUUGACAGGUAUGCUAGUUUUGCUUACAGAAUGUACUUUUUUAGUCUGUAUUGAACCGUCUUUUUCUGGGUGGUGAGACAAAAAAAUCCCUCAUCCCUGCAGCUACAGUGGGGGGGGGGGGGCUCUUCCUUCAAAGAGCAUUUCCUCACAUUUCAUUGAAUCCUGUUCUAAAGGAUCCUCUGAUUGUUUUUUAAUGAUCCAAGGGAUUAAGGAAAGAGGAUGGCUGGCAAAGAGGCAAAUGCACUAGAAUCUAAUCAUUGCCUUCAAUUUUGUACAUAAAACAGACCAUGUUUUGCAUUAUUUAUGCCAAAGAAUCUAAUUCAGAAACUGUCUACAUUACAGAUGUAAUGCGCUUUUAAAGAAUAAACUAACUUAUG